rnacentral:rRNA from 1 species
UACGUAGGGCGCAAGCGUUGUCCGGAAUUAUUGGGCGUAAAGAGCUCGUAGGCGGUUUGUCGCGUCUGCUGUGAAAACCUAAGGCUCAACCUUGGGCUUGCAGUGGGUACGGGCAGACUAGAGUGCGGUAGGGGUGACUGGAAUUCCUGGUGUAGCGGUGGAAUGCGCAGAUAGUCAGGAGGAACACCGGUGGCGAAGGCGGGUUCUC